UAGUCUGGGAUACCACUUGGAAACAGGUGCUAAUACCGGAUAAGAAAGCGGAUCGCAUGAUCAGCUUUUAAAAGGCGGCGUAAGCUGUCGCUAUGGGAUGGCCCCGCGGUGCAUUAGCUAGUUGGUAAGGUAAAGGCUUACCAAGGCGAUGAUGCAUAGCCGAGUUGAGAGACUGAUCGGCCACAUUGGGACUGAGACACGGCCCAAACUCCUACGGGAGGCAGCAGCU
rnacentral:rRNA from 1 species